AUGCCACCUAAGGAGGAGGUGGCGGCACCACCAUCAACACCACUCACAGCCCCUCAAACAGUAGAGAAAGAUGAAGCAGCUGCACAGAAGAAGCCUGUGGCCGUGAAAGUUCCAGUUAAGGACAAGGAGCCACAGCAGCCACCACAAGUCAAAGGACCAGUGGCAAAGCCAGCUGCUCCUCCACAAGGUACCAGCUCCUCUUUUAGCUGUUGCUUACAUUUCUGUUUCUGUGCUCGGUCUUUCAAGGCACUAACAGCAAAUAUAACUCUUGAUCCAUUAUAAUUCUUGGAAACAUCCAUGCUAAUGAAACAGGUUGUUUUAGUGUCAGUUACAGUAUACACUGGUGCCAGGGGAGAGCUGUCUAAUAGAUAAUACUUUGUGCUUUAAGAGAGCAAACCACAAGAACAACUUCAAAAAGCUCCAGAAAGGCCAAAGGUUACUGACAAAGCUGAGAAGUUGGGGAAGAAAUUGACAAUGCAUGGAGCCCAGCCAGGUAUAUAGAAAAUACUUACUACUGCAGCUCGACCAUACUGUAUGCUGCAGUUUUAGUGCAGUCUUCUGGUCCUUGUUACACUACUCCAGUGCGUUUAAAUUGUUUUUUACCCUGGAAGUUUCUGAGCCACAGCCUGUUUUGAAGCAUGAAGAACUAACCAAGAUGGCUGUGGUGGAAAAGAUAGCUCCUUCCACAGGUAGAUG
rnacentral:lncRNA from 1 species